rnacentral:lncRNA from 1 species
GAUACAAGCAGUAGGUUAUCUAAUGUGGUAUGAAAUGAUUAAAAGGUGUUGGCUGUCUUGCAUGGUUCAUCUGACCUCAUUUAGAUUGAUCAUUGAUAUAUAAAGUUUAUGUUAUACUUUUAGUAAAACCCUUUCAAAAUAUACAAGACUAUAUCAAUUUUGUGUAAACAACUACUCCCUCAAUCCAGGUCUUUUAAACUUCCCAGAAAGAAAGAAUAUAACAGCAAAUUGUGUACAUUAAAGUUGCAACCAUCCAUGAUAUAAAAGCUUGUAACAAUUUUUCUUAACCUGUAUCUUGAAUUUCACAGAGUUCAUAAACCUAGUAUUGUCCAUCAUUUAGUUCUUUAAAGAUACAUCCCACUUCAUAUUUAAUGUUCAGUAAAGACCUUCUACAUUGUUAAAGAAACCCAGUCAUCUGAGUCUGUCGUAUAUAUUUUUUUUUCAAAAAUAUCAUACUUUAUUAUAAAUAUAAAAGUAAGAAGAUAUGGUAUGAUUGCCAAUGAAACAACUCUCUAUCAGAGCCUAAAUGACAUACAAGUUAGCUAGUAAGUAUAGGUCACUGUAUGGCCCCAAUUAUUAGCAAAAUUCAUGCUACAUAUCAAGCUUGUAAAGGCCCUGAAAUGACAAAUGAAAAAAAAAUCAAAUCAGAAAAAUAACAGAAUCAGGUUCAAAACAAAAAAAACCAGAAAAACAGAUAUGUUAUACAGUAAUCCUUCUAUCUUGGCACAUACUAGUACACAUAUAGAAUCUGGUGUCGAUAAACAUGUUUGCAGGCACCCAACCCUUUCCUUAUCUCAGACGGUGGUGUUAUAACACAACAUAUUAUGAUAUUAAAGAACAGACAUACAAAACAGUUGAAUAGGCUUAACUUGUCAAAUCCAUACAGCAUAAAGCAAAUCAGUCAGAAUGAUACAAAGAAGAAAUAAAUCAUAAUUGUACGGAAUGGUAUGUUUAUUGGCAGCAUAUUUUUACAGGGGAAAAAAAUGUCAUAAAACAUAAAAAAAAGACUAGGUUGAUUAUAUAAAAACAACAUACUAUGGUAUUGUAAAGCCCCUUUAAUAUUGGCUGAAUAUGCAAGAGAUGUGUUGGUUUUCUUCAUUAUGACAGCAACCUAAUGAUUAAAAUAUUCUAAAGAUAUUUAUACCAUGUAAAAUUAUUUAAAGUUUGGGAAACUGCACAAGGGACAACAAGCCAACCAAGUUUAUUUCGUUUCUCCUGAUAAUAGCAACAAAGACAGUGGCAUAU